GGCUCGGUGGUGUAGUUGGUUAUCACGUCAGUCUAACAUUUCGUUAGCACACUGAAGGUCCCGAGUUCAAACCUCGGCUGAGUCA
rnacentral:tRNA from 1 species